GAACUUGGGUAAGCCGCCUCAGCCUGCUAGGAGGUGCCCUCCAAAGCCUCCUUCUCACCUUUUUGUUCUUGGUUACCAUGCAAAGAGAAAAAGAUAGUUUUGUUCUUGGCAUCCUGGCCUGGAGUGUCUGAGAAACAGCAAGUUUUCCCCAGACAUCGGUUCUGUAUUUCCCAUCGGAGCGAGUCCAGCGAAGAGCAGCAUGUUAAGACAUUAACUGCCCAAGAACCUUGAUAAACAAAACAAUAUGACCAUCUUUAUCUCCAUUUGAAUGUGACAUGGCUUCUUCAGACAUCAGCUGUUUUUAUCUGCAGAACAGUGCUCUGACUUAGGCAGAGCAAGCACUCUGAGAAGCCUCACUCACAGAGGAGGAAACUGAGGUCCAAGAUGGAUUCUCUGUAUCUGUGAUUCCAUGGCCCAACUGUCCAGAAGCAGAACACCCUCAACUCCAAAGCCAAGGCCCUACAGGAAGCCAGGCUGUUUCCUUGGAUUUCUUUGUCUGUGAAAUGAAGCAAAACUACACUGCUUGGAUGGAGUGAGAAAAGGACGAGCUCAGUGAGAGCAAGCGACUUUCCCAACAUUAUGGAGAGAGGAGAUGCUGUUACUGGUACCGUCCUGGACCAAGGUCAGCACACUUGGCUGACUAAGCUCAGGAGGCAGUAAGCAGGCUCCGAAAAGCAGUUGCGGGCAGUGCAUGCAGUCUCUUCAUUGUCAAAACAACAGUAGGCUUCAUGCAGCCAAAUGAGUUCUCUUUAAUACCUUGAAAGGACCCUGGAAAAGCCUUGGGCCUGCGCAGAGUGACAAGGCCAAGAGAAAUCCUUCACCCUGUCCGUCUUUACUUAGCACCUCCCGUUUUGAUGUGAAGUUUCUAGGUUUUGUCAUGGCCACUGUGGUUGCUAUAGAAACAGAGCAACAAAUAUUUGGAGGCCAGCAACACCUUUCCCCCAGAAGCCCAGUCAAGAAUGUUUGGGAGCAGGCCCCUGCCCAUCAGGCUGCUGUUGUUGCAGUUGAAUGCAGCCUUUGUGAUUAGCCUUCUGGCCUGCCACCAGGCUCCAAAGAGAUGACUAGGCUCAGAUCUCUUUAAAUAGUGUUUGUGUUUCAGUCAUCCAUAAGGAGGGGUGGGUGGGAAGCUCAGUCUCACUGUGCGGAUAUCAUUCAGGAGAGCAGAGCCAGGGUGCUGUGAGCGGUGUAUACUGCCCUUCACCAGGAGCAGCACUCAGGAGGCUCUGCUCGCAGCAUCCUGCAAUGUCCUGGCUAGGGAAGUCCGUGUUAGCACUGUCAUCCUGUAGGUGAGAAGAUGGGUACUGGUGGAAGACACAGAUGCUUCAGGUUAGCAACUAGCAAAGAGGAUAGUGCCGUGGCUGAGUUGUCUCGAGGCUAGGAUCAGUAUGGGCACUUUUCAAAGUUCCUUCGAGUUUAAUGUGAUAGAGGCUGGAAUUCUUCACAGUCUUUUACGUUGUACUACACAGAGUCUGCACAAGACUCAGUCGUUUGUGAGAAAAUGAAUACAGUGGAAUGGCAAAACUCGGCUUUCACUGGGAGCUGAUUUUAUUUGUCCGUGGGAACUUGAUUUGCUUACUUAUCAUGGCUGAUGGGCAUUAUGUGAUUUUACUGCAAUGUGAGAGCCCAGAGCUUCCAUCUGGCACCAGCUCCGCCAGGGAGUGAGGAGGCAGUGAAGGAAAUUUGACUUAAUGGCAGGUGUUACCUGGACAGAUAGAAAGGUACCAUUGUCUCCUCUGCAAUAAACUGCCCACCUUUCACCUGCUGUCAAAUUGCAAAUUCACUUACCAUUAAAGCCCUGGGCCAUUACUUCAUUCAUUUAGCAAGAGUUUAUUAAAUGUCUACUGAGGGUCAGGCACUGGACUAAGCGCUGGGGAGAGAAAAAUAAACAACAUUUGUCUGA
rnacentral:lncRNA from 1 species